rnacentral:rRNA from 1 species
UACGUAGGGUGCGAGCGUUGUCCGGAAUUAUUGGGCGUAAAGAGCUCGUAGGCGGUCUGUCGCGUCGAUCGUGAAAACUUGGGGCUUAACCCUGAGCUUGCGGUCGAUACGGGCAUGACUGGAGUUCGGCAGGGGAGACUGGAAUUCCUGGUGUAGCGGUGAAAUGCGCAGAUAUCAGGAGGAACACCGGUGGCGAAGGCGGCACUCUGGGCCUGUACUGACGCUGAGACGCGAAAGCGCGGGGAGCGAACGGG